rnacentral:rRNA from 1 species
AGAGUUUGAUCCUGGCUCAGGACGAACGCUGGCGGCGUGCUUAACACAUGCAAGUCGAGCGAUGAAAUCUUGACAGAUCCCUUCGGGGUGAAGAUAAGAUGGAUUAGCGGCGGACGGGUGAGUAACACGUGAGUAACCUGCCUUAGACAUUGGGAUAGCCUCGGGAAACCGGGAUUAAUACCAAAUGAAAUCAUAGGUGCCCAUGCACUAAUGAUCAAAACUCCGGUGGUCUAAGAUGGACUCGCGUCCCAUUAGCUAGUUGGUGAGGUAACGGCCCACCAAGGCGACGAUGGGUAGCCGGCCUGAGAGGGUGAACGGCCACAUUGGAACUGAGAAACGGUCCAAACUCCUACGGGAGGCAGCAGUGGGGAAUAUUGCACAAUGGAGGGAACUCUGAUGCAGCGACGCCGCGUGAACGAUGAAGGCUUUCGAGUCGUAAAGUUCUUUUAUAUGGGAAGAUAAUGACGGUACCAUAAGAAAAAGCCCCGGCUAACUACGUGCCAGCAGCCGCGGUAAUACGUAGGGGGCUAGCGUUGUCCGGAAUCACUGGGCGUAAAGGGUUCGCAGGCGGAAAUGCAAGUCAGAUGUAAAAGGCAGUAGCUUAACUACUGUAAGCAUUUGAAACUGCAUAUCUUGAGAAGAGUAGAGGUAAGUGGAAUUUUUAGUGUAGCGGUGAAAUGCGUAGAUAUUAAAAAGAAUACCGGUGGCGAAGGCGACUUACUGGGCUCAUUCUGACGCUGAGGAACGAAAGCGUGGGUAGCAAACAGGAUUAGAUACCCUGGUAGUCCACGCUGUAAACGAUGAGUGUUAGGUUCUUGGAAUAAUCUGGGAGCCGCAGCUAACGCAUUAAACACUCCGCCUGGGGAGUACGCACGCAAGUGUGAAACUCAAAGGAAUUGACGGGGACCC